rnacentral:lncRNA from 1 species
AAGAAGGGCCAUGCCUAUGCGACUGCCUCGGGCUGGGGCUGGUGCACCUUGGGCUGGGGCUAGGUUGGAUCAGCUCCGCCUCGGAGAAGUUGCAGCAGUGCCUGAGUGGCAAGGAGAAGGCCUGGGUGCUGAUGUGCCAUUCUAUUGUGCAGAUGUGUUAUUGUUCUAUUAUGCAAUUCUAUUUGUUCUUGCUAUAUUCCUGUGUAAGGAAAUGUAUUCAAGAGAUGACUUAUUGUGUUAUGUAAACCUGGGAGAUGUAUUAUGCGAUGUUAUAUGAUG